GGAUGGGUUAUUGAAGGGUGGAUGGGUUGUAAAUUAUAGGGAUUUAAGGGUUUCAAAAAUUGCUACAAAAGGUAGUGAUUUGAGAUUGAAGACACAAAAUUUUGGGGUUGUUCUUACACCCUUCAAUUCUUUAUCUUAAAUUUCCUUUUUUUGAUAAGUAAACAAUUUUAGAAACCGGGGCCCCUAUAGGAAUGCUUCUUGUGUAUAAAAAGAUGCUACUGUGAAAAGGUACUUUUGCACGUCCUUGCAUAUCCAAAAGCUCUACAAAUUCUAUACUUGGUCUAGAUCUAUGGUGUACAUGUUCUUGGAUAUGGUCUUGAAAAGCUUUUAGGAGGUUAGUGUUGUACUAUGAAGUACAGGUACUUUAAAAAUAUUGCCGUAUAAGUACCAGGUACUUAUCAGGUGCGGGUACGUAUAUCGGGUACGCCAAAAACGCACCAAGUAUGUUUUAUAUGAUUAGUAUAAUGAUGGGUACGUGACGGGUACGCAAUCGGUAUGCUACGGGUACAUUUUUGGGUACUUCGGGGUACAAAACAAGAUUUUUUACAAAUUAAAGGGUACCGGAGCAAGUUUUUUGGCCUAUUUAAAAAAAUUAUAUAAAUUUGGGGUACGUUUGUAAUAAACAAAACAUGAAACAAAUUAAAAUUAGGGUUCUACUCUAUUCGAUUGUCUCUCUCUUUUUCUUGAAACACAGUGACUCACAAGAGCUGAAGAACUCCUUCCUGCGAAGCUAUUAAAGAGGUUUAAUCGAAGGUGCUAAUCGAUUCUCUCCUUCAAAGAUCACAUUCCGAUUUUUUUUCUUCUGUUUCUUCGCAGCAAACGAAGGACGAAGACAUAUCAUUUUUCAUUUUUCUUUUUCUCCAGAUUUCUGUUCUGUCCAGAUUUCUGUUUCCUCUUUUUUCAUUUUUUUUUCCAGAUUUUUGUACUCCUUGGCAGCAAACGACCCCCUCCGCUCCAAUGACGACUCCUCUUCUCGUCAGGUGUACUUGUAAGAUGCUUGAAGAUGUCGUUGGUGAACGUUAUAAGGGUGUUUAUGAUUUUAUUAAACUGCCCUUCGAUUUUCAAGCAAGUGACUUUACCUCAGAAGAACAGAGUUAGUUUUGCCUUACAAACUGUGAAUAAUUAUGACUUAUCCUUCUUUUGCUGAAGAACAAAUGCAAUAGGGGUCAUGUAUUCAUCAAUCUGACUGAUCCUGCCUCUGUUAUCCCCUUCUAUCAGGCAUUUAAACGAAUGCAAUG